rnacentral:lncRNA from 1 species
UUGUGAUGUACCUACUGAGUAUGGCCAACGGCAGCUUUUGUAAAGUCAUCAGGGAUGACAAUUCCUUCCUCCAGGGAUCUAGGGCAGACAAGCAUCUCUGGACCACCCUGGAGAUAAGCAGCAAGAUGGGCAGAGUCAAGCACAUGACACUGGGCAAAAUAUUAGGGUGAUGGAAACCUUGGUCUGGAUAACUCCACCACCUAAUAAUCUCCUGACUGGCAGUGGAGCCUCUGGCAUUGUCAUCAAUGAGCAACUUAGAUUUCACAGCAAGAGGUGCAGUAAGUGGCAUUUGCAAGGUCACAUCUCAAAUAUGAGCAUCACCCAGAGGUUGCCCAGGUGAUCCUAGGCCAUCCUGAGCAUGCAGCUGUGCAGGGCUUGACCUUGAAGGACAGAUGGCAUCAAGGGGAAUUCUUUUAUACCUUGUAUUGGCCAGGGCUCAGCUUCUGACAUUUCUGUCUACAGACGACAAAAGGCUUUCAUUGUAAGCUGCUUUCUGAUGCGUGCUUAAAACCAAGUUGAACACAUUAAAAGGGAGAAGAGGCAGAAAUGUACUCGCUGUGCUCCGUGAAGAAUUAAAAAAAAAAUUUUAUGGAAGUCGAUGAAAGGGAAAUAGAUUUUUUAAAUCUUUAUGCCCUCUUCCCCCAGAAUUGGGCUUAAUAUUUAUUUCAGGUUAAUUAUAAUUCUCCAUUCAUUCCAAUACACAUUUAUAUUAUGUUCCAUAUUAUAUUUCCUCUUAAAAAUUGACAUUUAAAAUGUUUCACACAAAUUAUAUUUAGCUGAGUUUGCUCUCUAUUUCUGAUCUGAAUAAUAUCAUGAUUCUUGCAAUCCCAAACCUUCCCUCAGUAAAAUUUACUGUCACCGGGGUAUGGUAUGCUUUCAAGGCUCCCCUCUAAUUUUUUUUCCUUUUUCAACUAUAAUGCUUUCUCAGACCUCCUUUUCUAUAAUGUUACCAAGAUUCUUUGAAGUAUUAUCUGAUUUCAGAACUAAGGCUUAAACAUUCCUCUUCAGGAGACUUUAUAUAACCCUCUAUCCUUCUAAUUUAGUACUUCAGUCCACCAUGUACCAACUGUAGUCCUCUUGACCCAGCAUUUUUCUGGAAAGUACAAGGCAAAAAUUUGUGAAAUUCAGUUCUUGAUCUGAUUACACGGGGGCUACGUGCUUGAAUGAAAAAUAAUAACAGCUACCAUUUACUGAGUGGUUUUAGCGUCCCGGGCAUUGUUUUAACUGUUCUACAUGUAUUCCUCCCUUAGUCUUCACCAUGGCCUGGAGGAAAUAGGUCAUAUUAUUAUUAUCAGCCCCAUUUUCCAGAUGAGCACAGAGAGGUCAUUGAACUUUUAUAA